UUGAGACACCCUCAGUAGCGAAGCUUUUAUUCAAACGUCUUUUCAUCUUCUAUAAUACCUAAUUGCCGUCUUCAUAAUCGAGACAAUUCAUAAUUAAUCGCAAUAAUUGAUAAAUUUCCAAGCUAACUGAUAAUUACUGUAAUAAUAUAACCUGUACUAUUGUUACGGAUGAUCACUGAUAAUCUGCUACAGAACAGGUUUCCUUCAGUAUCCUGUAAAUUUUCCUCAGUAACAUAUUCUAGAUAACCUGUACUACUGUUACGGAUGAUCUCUGAUCUGUGAAGGAACAAGCAUGGAUUCUUCAGAAUCAUGUUAAUUCUCCACAAUAACAUACUCUAGGUAACCUGUUUUGUUAUAAAUGAUCACUGAUAAUCUAUAAAGCAACACGUUUUCUUCGUAUUGAGUUAAUUUUCCUCAAUAACAUACUCUAGGUUUCCAAAAAUGAAUCUGUUAUUGUUAGGAGUGAUAUUGUGUGUUCAGACAUCUUUGUUGUAUGGAAAGAGCGCUAAGACGAAAGAAAUAGAAUUUAAUCAUGGCUCGAUUAUCGAAAGAACAGAAGACAUUUUUAUUGUAUCGAGUAAUAUAGUCAUAGAAGUGGAUAUGCAAGCCAUAUUUUUGCCUGAAGAUGACGUCCUUAACUUAAAGAAUGACCUGAUGAGGUUUACCAUUUCACUUAAGGAAAUGCACCAAGGUCAUUUUCAUGCUAACUCAGAGAUUUCGCUAGCUCAAACCCUAAGCGUCGCGGAAAUGUUAUCUUAUGACAUACAAAAUAAAACCGCUGAGGCAGAGGAACUUGCUCGUGACUUGCUGAUGUGGUCUGUGCGGCACAAUAAUCUCGAACGCCGCAACCCGCUUAUU